GCAUGAUCGUAAGGACAUGUGGAGCGCUUAGAAGUGAGAAUGCCGGUGUGAGUAGCGAAAGACGGGUGAGAAUCCCGUCCACCGAUUGACUAAGGUUUCCAGAGGAAGGCUCGUCCGCUCUGGGUUAGUCGGGUCCUAAGCUGAGGCCGACAGGCGUAGGCGAUGGAUAACAGGUUGAUAUUCCUGUACCACCUAUAAUCGUUUUAAUCGAUGGGGGGACGCAGUAGGAUAGGCGAAGCGUGCGAUUGGAUUGCACGUCUAAGCAGUAAGGCUGAGUAUUAGGCAAAUCCGGUACUCGUUAAGGCUGAGCUGUGAUGGGGAGAAGACAUUGUGUCUUCGAGUCGUUGAUUUCACACUGCCGAGAAAAGCCUCUAGAUAGAAAAUAGGUGCCCGUACCGCAAACCGACACAGGUAGUCAAGAUGAGAAUUCUAAGGUGAGCGAGCGAACUCUCGUUAAGGAACUCGGCAAAAUGACCCCGUAACUUCGGGAGAAGGGGUGCUCUUUAGGGUUAACGCCCAGAAGAGCCGCAGUGAAUAGGCCCAAGCGACUGUUUAUCAAAAACACAGGUCUCUGCUAAACCGUAAGGUGAUGUAUAGGGGCUGACGCCUGCCCGGUGCUGGAAG
rnacentral:rRNA from 1 species